rnacentral:lncRNA from 1 species
UUGUCGCCCAGCUGCGAACUGGAGCGGGAGGCGGCGGCCGGAGGGCCCAGGACAGCCCCGGGAGGGCGGCGAGGCGGAGCAGGAGCGCCCCGGCUCCGGCCACAUUCUCAGAGUCAGGAAAAGGGGCGAGAGGCCACAUGUCUCCCUCUCGCCCAACUGAAAACGAAACGGCGCUCCAGCAGAUUGGGUGGAAAGAGCUGGGUCUCUUUUCUCUGUUUUUCACGCUAGAAAGGGCUUGUAAACAUUGUUCCUUUUAAAAUGACCUACCCCAGGCAUUUGUUUGGGCACACUUCUGUCCUGGGGUCAUCGUUCCUAGGUGGCUUCGGACCUGGGACUUUUCCUGUAUCUGCACAUUGUCGUUUUAUACACAAUUGCCAAGGUGGGACUGCUUUCAACUUUACUGUGCUUGAAGCUGCAAAGCGGAUCCUGUUACAGUGCAAAGAAGAAAUGGCAAACGGAUAACAGCUACUGUGCCUAGAAGAUGGUUCUGCCCUGAUGUUUCCUGGAAUAAUGCUGAGGACUGCCUUUCGGGUAGCCGCCCUAUUCAGUUCACUUCAUCUCGGAAAUACCUGACCCCUGCCUUGGAUCCAGCGGCCCUCCUGAGAGCUGAGGAAGGAGGAAAUCCUAUGUGUCUGCUCCCGGAGCUGCCACAACCCAUCUUCCCACAACUCGGAACUUGGAAAAAGGAACCCAGGACACGACUUUGCUUUUCUUUUGGACCUAGUUGGUGAUUAUACUCUGUCUCCCAUGGAGACCACGUCUUGCAUCCUUCCUUCUAUAUGGGAUUUAGGAUAGAAAUUAAAAAGAAAACAUAUUAUUUUGAGUCUUGAUUUGGAGAAAGGUAGUAUUCAGGAGGAAGUAGGCUAUGAUACACAUAGAAAAUUUGAGGACAGUGUUACUUAACAAGGACAUUUCUGUCUCUGCAGAAGUCACAGCUUGGAGGAAACCAGUUUGCACUAUUUGAUGAGGAAUUUGGCCACCAAACCACUGAUACUUUCCCAAAGGUUUGGCAGAAAUUGUUUUUUGAGUGGCUCACCAGAGUACCCAGAAGAAUCAGUAUGGAAUUAGAGGACAGUGGCCUACCCUAAAUAAAGACAUGAGUGAUGUAUAAAGUCUAGUGUCAAUUUAUUCAGAAAAUAUCAAAAUUAUUCUGGGAGCUAUGGGUCAAAGUUGAUAGGCACAAACAAACAAAAACGAAAGGUAUUUUAAAUUCACAGCUUGGAUAAGUAAAAGGGAGAUGUUGUCAUUUCUCUUCUUCAAUCCAACUUUAGAUUUUCAAGCCGGAAAAAGGGUAAUUAGAAGUUAGAAAUUGUUAUUGCCAGAAAAUAGCUCUAAACCCUGAAAAAAAAAAAAAAAAAAAAAAAAACUGACCCUCCUCUUGGGGAGUGAUAAACCUCAAUUACUGUUGAUAGUAAAACUGAUAUCAACUCUUCGAAACCAGUGAAAGGUGAAUGGAAACCUUACCCUAGGUUAAGGUUUAAAAAAUGUUCAUAAUAUAUAUUUGAAAGUUCCAUUAUUUAAAAUAUUCAUUAGACAUGCUUUGUAAUGUUAAGUUACUUCAAAAAAUCUUACACAAGGGAAGGGAAGUAUGUAUUAUUCCUUCAUUUAAGAGAAAGAUAAUGUGUGAAUAUUAGUUAAUAUUUAUCGUACAUUUACUACCUGUGUCGAAGCGUAGUGUUACACACUUAAUUUCAAUUAUUUAAUUUGAUUCUAACAAUGAAUCCCCUGAGAUGGAUAAUAUCCUCUUCAUUUUACAGAUGAGACAAUUGAGACUUAAAGGUUAAACAAAUGAUUUCCUAAGCUCAUUCAGCUAAUAAACGGUAGGGGACUGCUUGACACCAGUCCAGUUGACCCUCAAAUCCAUGAUUUCUGCCACCAUAUUCACAGAAACAAGACAAGAGCUGAAAAUAUAGCCUGACUCUUGAAACAGUCAAAGAAUUGUGUAUGUUUAUGAAAGUUCUGAUUAAUAAGAUAUUCUGAGGACAAAAGACAAGGCAUGGGUAGAGGGGCAAUGUGUAGAUUAGAAUGUAUCACAAUGCCCACUAAAUAGUAAAACCAUAGAAAAUGAAAUUUAAUCCUUACUGUGUAGAAUAUUUAGAGUAGAUUGUUUUUUCCUCGGUGUCAAUUACUAUUACAACUAUCAAAGAAUGAAAUUAAACAAGAAACGGUUCCUUUGGUUUUUUUUUUUAAAGGUGGGAGUUAUAAAAACAGUAUUUGCCAUCUGGUUUUAGUUAUGGCUGUGGAAAUUCUAUGGGUACAAUUUGUUGUCAUUGUUGUUACCACUACCAAUACAGAGAUGCUAAUUGUAACAUCAGUUUCUAAAUCAGAUAGUGAAUAAUUACAUUUUCAAUGUUUUCUUAACAUAGAUACAAGUUAACAGGAUAUGCUUCUGGCCUGUUUCUGGAUUCUAAGGGUAGAACCAGCAUAAAACUAGUCAGUCCAAGUAUUUCUAAAGAUCCACAGACACAGUUCUCCUGGAUUUGGGAAGCCUAGAGAUAUUAGCACAAUAAUUAAGGCCCAAGGUAAAAGCAACAGCAGCCUGAAAAUGCAAAAGACCAUACAUUUUAAUGGUAAGUCCUCCCCAGGAAGGAUUAAUAAAUCUCAGGAGGAAGAUUUAUUAUCUGUAAAUCCAGGAGGAAGAAAUCAAGAUGAAAACUAUCAUAUUUAUAAAUUUGAUUGUUGCAAUUUUAUAGUUUGACAUAGUGCAAUUGCUUUAGAUUUGAAGGGGAACUUACUUUAGAGUAAGUCACUCAAUCUCUUUUUUGGAAAGGCAAAUGCCACACCUGAUCCUCAUCACUCCCUUCUCCUUUGUCCAUAGCCUGGCUUUAUUCUGCCAUUAACACACACACACACACACACACACACACACACACAAAUUGGGAAGAGGAUUUCUCAUUUUACAGAAAGUAUGCUGGGCUACACAGGAUAUUCUAUCAGGUUUCUUCCAGCUAUAAAAUUCUGAGACUAAAUAUCAAAUUAAAGAAAGUACUAAUUGUCAGCGAUGGGGGAUGUACUGCUAUUUGCUUCUAGUGGUACUCACUGCUCAUUUCCUAUAUUCACUGGUAUAAAAAAAUUUCAAACACCCUCAAAAAAGCCUAUACUGGUGGUACCAGGAAAACGCUGAAAAUCAUUACUUUCUGUGUGGUGUCCAGCUCUUUUGGUUACAUCAUCACUUCGACCAUUCACUUUUAAAGAAAAACUUUUGUGGAACAAAAAUAUAAAGAUUUAUUUUUUUUCUUGGUGGCUUAGCACAGUGGCCUAAUGUGGCUGACCAUGUGCACCUGUUGUGUGAGUCACUUAGACGUGCUUUGUUUCUUGGUCACAGUUGAUCCCUCAACUCAAGCAUCUCACCCUCAAAAUGUUUGUUUGGGACCCAAGAGGCAAACCUUGAGAUGGGUUAUUUCUUUCACCUUGGAUUGGCUCAUCUGCUGGGAGUGGAGCCAAGCUGACAUUUCCUUUCCUUUUUGUCUGCCUAUCACUACGUAGAGGCAGCACAUAAGAGAGGGAAAGCCAUGCGCGUGGAGUCCAGCACAUCACCCAGAAGGCAGAUGUUCUAUCUCCAUUUUACUCAUUAAAACAAACAAAACCACACCUGGAUUGCCUGGUACUUAAAUAAAAUGCACUAUGAUGAUUGAAGAAAAAUAUCUUAUAUUUAAGGAAUAGUUUUAAUAGCUUACAUCUGUAUUUCUAUUAGCUUCCGUUUCUAUUUUUAAUAUUUGUAUAAUAUUAAAAGUAAUUUUAAAAAUGAACUAAUCUUUUUACAUCUCUUAUGAGAAUUUAAUGGAGAUAUGAUGUUUGAAGAUCAAAGAUACGUGGUAUUUGAAA